rnacentral:lncRNA from 1 species
AUAUCGCUGAACACUUUGGACGACCUGCAGUGAGCUGCGGCACCAGGUCUUGAUCAACCAGUUCAUGCAGGCCACAGGCGCAGCAAUUGCUGCAAGCAGCACACUGGCAGUUCGAGACUGCCCUAAGCGCGUUCUUUCAAGAAAGCAACAUUCUCAACAGUCACCGCCACCCGCAGAUGAUGUGUACCUCCAGCAGCACCCCUGCUACACCACUCAUCUUCCCUGAUGUGCUGGCCACGUUCUCCAAGCUUCGAACCUCUAAGGAACUGCAGAGCAGCAGCAGCAGCCCCAGGGCAGCUGUGGCCUGCAAACUCCCUGCAAACUUCAGCCCCUUCUGGGCCACAUCCCCACCCAAUCACUAGGUGCCCUGGAUCCCGCCCUCUUCCCCCAACACCUUCCAUCUCAACUGCCCACAGCCCACGUGCCCCCGCACCCAGCAUCACAGGGCGCGCCCCUCAGAAAGCCAUGGCCAUCCUGGAUGGCCAGAGAUGA